rnacentral:miRNA from 1 species
UACUUGAACUGCAUAUUUCGGA